AUGGAUGUAGGAAGGAAAACUAUUACACCAGUUUCUACCACUGAAAAUGUCUUGGAGGGAAACUCUGUUACUUUAUCCUGUAAUUACAGUGGAUCUGGAAGAGAUGAGCUGCAGUGGUAUCGUCAGUACUCCACAUUCAGACCAGAGUUCAUUAUUCUGGUUGCUGAAUAUAAUAAAGAAGCUGCAGCAGAAGCUGCUGAGAGUAUUACAGCAGAUAAACCCAGCUUAUUAUCAAAUGAAGGCAACAACAUCACACUAUCCUGCACAUAUGAAUCAUCAGUUAAUAGACUCCACUGGUAUCGACAAAAACCUGGAUCAACACCAGAGUUUCUUCUGCUGAUUUAUGAGGGUUUUGUCACCAAGGCUUCAUCACCUGACCCAAGAAUGUCCAUCAAAACUAAAGAGAACAAGAAGGUAGAACUGGAGAUCGACUCUGCUGCAGUAUCUGACUCUGCUCUGUACUAUUGCGCUCUGAAGCCCACAGUAGCAGGAAAUUCAGCUAUACUGUACAAAAACCUUCUCUCAGAGGAGGAGGAGCUAUAA